UACGUAGGGUGCAAGCGUUAAUCGGAAUUACUGGGCGUAAAGCGUGCGCAGGCGGUUAUGCAAAACAGAUGUGAAAUCCCCGGGCUCAACCCGGGAACUGCGUCCGAUACUGGCAGGCUUGAAUCCGGGAGAGGGAUGCGGAAUUCCAGGUGUAGCGGUGAAAUGCGUAGAUAUCUGGAGGAACACCGGUGGCGAAGGCGGCAUCCUGGACCGGCAUUGACGCUGAGGCGCGAAAGCCAGGGGAGCAAACGGG
rnacentral:rRNA from 1 species